rnacentral:rRNA from 1 species
CGGGGUUGCGGACAGUGUCUGGUGGGUAGUUUGACUGGGGCGGUCUCCUCCCAAAGAGUAACGGAGGAGCACGAAGGUUAGCUAAUCCUGGUCGGACAUCAGGAGGUUAGUGCAAUGGCAUAAGCUAGCUUGACUGCGAGCGUGACGGCGCGAGCAGGUGCGAAAGCAGGUCAUAGUGAUCCGGUGGUUCUGAAUGGAAGGGCCAUCGCUCAACGGAUAAAAGGUACUCCGGGGAUAACAGGCUGAUACCGCCCAAGAGUUCAUAUCGACGGCGGUGUUUGGCACCUCGAUGUCGGCUCAUCACAUCCUGGGGCUGAAGUAGGUCCCAAGGGUAUGGCUGUUCGCCAUUUAAAGUGGUACGCGAGCUGGGUUUAGAACGUCGUGAGACAGUUCGGUCCCUAUCUGCCGUGGGCGCUGGAGAAUUGAGGGGGGCUGCUCCUAGUACGAGAGGACCGGAGUGGACGCAUCACUGGUGUUCGGGUUGUCAUGCCAAUGGCAUUGCCCGGUAGCUAAAUGCGGAAGAGAUAAGUGCUGAAAGCAUCUAAGCACGAAACUUGCCCCGAGAUGAGUUCUCCCUGACUCCUUGAGAGUCCUGAAGGAACGUUAAAGACGAUGACGUUGAUAGGUCGGGUGUGUAAGCGUAGCGAUACGUUGAGCUAACCGAUACUAAUGAACCGUGAGGCUUAACCUU